UACUAGAGUAGCACUCGCAUAUCAAUAAGCGGAGGAAAAGAAACUAACAAGGAUUCCCCUAGUAACGGCGAGUGAAGCGGGAAGAGCUCAAAUUUGAAAUCUUAAAGGGUUUCCCUUUACGAAUUGUAGUUUAAAGAAGUGUUUUCUGUUGAGGUUUUGGUAAAAGUUCUUUGGAAUAGGACAUCAUAGAGGGUGAGAAUCCCGUAUUUGACCUUUACUUAUCAACUUUGUGAUACACUUCAAAGAGUCGGAUUGUUUGGGAAUGCAGUCCAAAAUGGGUGGUAAAUUUCAUCUAAAGCUAAAUAUUGGCGAGAGACCGAUAGCGAACAAGUACCGUGAGGGAAAGAUGAAAAGAACUUUGAAAAGAGAGUUAAACAGUACGUGAAAUUGUCAAAAGGGAAGCGUUUGACACCAGUGUUGUUUUUCUGAAAAUCAAUUAAAGAACUGUUUAUGCUAAGUUGUUUAGACUUUAUCAGCUACUGUUUAGUUUUGAGCUUUUCUUUAGUGCACUUUUCAGUUAACAAGUCAACAUCAAUUUCUUUUGCUGUAAAAAAGCUUGAGGAAGGUGGCUUGAGAUUCGUCUUAAGUGUUUAUAGCCUCUUGCCUAUGCAGUCGGAGAGAUUGAGGUCUGCAGCGUAGAUCCUUCGGGGCUAAAUGCAUUUGUGCUAAGUUAUAGCAUUUUAUAGACAACUUGUUGACUAUGAUUAUGUCUUGUAGCUUACUCGCUUAUGUUAUUUUACCUACGCUUAGGAUGUUGAGCGCAUGUCUCUCUCU
rnacentral:rRNA from 1 species